AAUGCUCCCUCUAGGCUCUGAUCCAAACCCAUUGAAAUCAAAGGAAAAAUUCCAAUGGGCUUUGAAUCAGGUCCUGAGUGAUGCCUC
rnacentral:ncRNA from 2 species